CGCGAGUUUAUUUUCAGUUUGAAAUAUAUAAGCACAUAUGAUUAGAGUAAAAAUCAUACUGAAUCAAGAAUCAGCUCAACAAUGUAUUUCUUAAAACCUCAAGUACUUGCUAUCUGCCUGAUUGUAGCAGUCUGCUACGUGCAAGGACAUCCAACUCCCGAUGAAGCUAGUAAAACAAUGAUCGUUGCUUUAGAGGAACCGCUUGAUGGAGCUAUGAAUGCACAAGUAGACCAGGGAAUCGCAUCUCAUGUCGAGGCACCCGCUAACAACCAAAAUGUUGAAGAUCGUAAAGCCAAGUGCAUAUUCUGCCCAUAAUCUCCAUCAAUGUCAAAGUAAUUGGAUUUCUUUUUCAGUUAAUUUUGGGUAAACAACGUGUUUAUGAAAUAAAAUACGUAAAAAUGUA